rnacentral:rRNA from 1 species
CUAAUACAUGCAAGUCGAACGCACAGCGAAAGGUGCUUGCACCUUUCAAGUGAGUGGCGAACGGGUGAGUAACACGUGGACAACCUGCCUCAAGGCUGGGGAUAACAUUUGGAAACAGAUGCUAAUACCGAAUAAAACUUAGUGUCGCAUGACACAAAGUUAAAAGGCGCUUCGGCGUCACCUAGAGAUGGAUCCGCGGUGCAUUAGUUAGUUGGUGGGGUAAAGGCCUACCAAGACAAUGAUGCAUAGCCGAGUUGAGAGACUGAUCGGCCACAUUGGGACUGAGACACGGCCCAAACUCCUACGGGAGGCUGCAGUAGGGAAUCUUCCACAAUGGGCGAAAGCCUGAUGGAGCAACGCCGCGUGUGUGAUGAAGGCUUUCGGGUCGUAAAGCACUGUUGUAUGGGAAGAACAGCUAGAAUAGGAAAUGAUUUUAGUUUGACGGUACCAUACCAGAAAGGGACGGCUAAAUACGUGCCAGCAGCCGCGGUAAUACGUAUGUCCCGAGCGUUAUCCGGAUUUAUUGGGCGUAAAGCGAGCGCAGACGGUUUAUUAAGUCUGAUGUGAAAGCCCGGAGCUCAACUCCGGAAUGGCAUUGGAAACUGGUUAACUUGAGUGCAGUAGAGGUAAGUGGAACUCCAUGUGUAGCGGUGGAAUGCGUAGAUAUAUGGAAGAACACCAGUGGCGAAGGCGGCUUACUGGACUGCAACUGACGUUGAGGCUCGAAAGUGUGAGUAGCAAACAGGAUUAGAUACGGGGUAAUC